CCGUCUGUAAAAUUCUUUUUAGGUUUUCAGUUUCUUUUUAGUUAUUGAUGUUUCCUCCAGUCAGAGAAAAGAGCGAAAUUCCUGUCCUGGUAGUCCAUGAGCUCAGCUCAUAACUCUCAUAACUGCCAGCUUAACCUUUCUGUUAAUAUUUCUGCUUUCAGGUGCUCUUCAUUGACCUUACAGUAUUAAUAGAUUUUUUUUUUUUUUGGUACCAGGGAUCAAAAACUUGCACUUGCCAGGCAGGUACUUAUGCUGCUGAGCUAAAUCCCCAGCCCUAUUAAUAGAUUUUGACUAGGCUUUGUCCUUAAGAUAAUAUUUGUUUUCUGUACACAAAGAAGAAAGAAAGAAAGAAAGAAAGAAAGAAAGAAAGAAAGAAUCAUAUGAAGUUUAAUUAUACUGCAAUUUGAUGCAAACAUGUCUGAUGCUUGAUGAUCAGGCUAUCAAAGAGGUCAUGUGGAUGGUCUCCACCCAAAACAACAGACACCAGGAAGAAGUGAAUUUUGGAUUGAUUUGAUGUUACAUUUUUACCUACAUUGUGUGAACCCAGCUCAUCAACAUCCAAAUCAAACUGCUUGUAUAUAGUUCUUAAUAAAAAAAAUUCAUUAUGUAAAUCUGG
rnacentral:lncRNA from 1 species